GGCGGAGAGUGACGCGUGCCUGGUGGCCGCCGCGGUCUUCAAAACCGUUGGUUCCGCUCACGCGGAACGGUGGGUUCGACUCCCUCCCUCUCCGCCGCCA
rnacentral:tRNA from 1 species